GAUUUCAUGUACUCCCCCACUUGACGACCUUGAACACUUUAAAGUUUAGGGGCGAAUCGAUGGGGAAAACAAUUUGUAGGCUGGCAGUAAAGACGUUUAUCUAUCGCAGCAAGCGGAACACAUUUCAAUGGUUUGUUUUUUUCCCCCCAUUUUUCGUAACUUUUUCAGUUGUCCAGGCUCCAUAAAUCGCUCAAACAUGGCAAGCAAAGUAAAACAAAUUGAAAGGGGACCAGAGCCCAAGGACUACAAAAAGUGCAGCAAGCUAAACAAAAAGCGGGAGAGAGAUGGAAAUGAAAAGCUCACAAAAUGGAGUCGUAAAGCAAAUGGAGCGGACACACACAUACACAGACGCUCCGUUUCCGGUAGCCCUUGCAUGCAUAUGCAACCAUAUUUAUGAUGCACCCGCCACGCCCACUUAAAUGGGCGGACACGGGAAUCGAAAGAUUUCAUCGUACAAUUCUCCAAGCAAAUGUGUAACUUUGAAAAUAAACUUUAACUUCGAUUUGGAUUUAAGCGACAAA